GGUAACUACCCGAUAACAUUCUUUGGAUCAAAUGGUGUGAUUCCGCCUGAGGAUGAGUCUACUUCCUAUUAGCUAGUUGGUGUGGUAAUGGCUCACCAAGGCAACGAUGGGUAGCGGGUGUGAGAGCACGAUCCGCCUCACUGGGACUGAGACACUCGCCCAGACACCUACGGGGUGGCUGCAGUCGAGAAUCUUCGGCAAUGGGGGAAACCCUGACCGAGCGACGCCGCGUGCGGGAUGAAGGCCCUCGGGUUGUAAACCGCUGUCGUAAGGGAACAAAUCUAAGAGGGUACUCCCUUUUAGUUGAGUGAUCUUAGGAGGAAGGACGGGCUAAGUUCGUG
rnacentral:rRNA from 1 species